UACGUAGGGUGCAAGCGUUGUCCGGAAUUAUUGGGCGUAAAGAGCUCGUAGGCGGUCUGUCGCGUCGGAUGUGAAAACUCGGGGCUCAACCCCGAGCCUGCAUUCGAUACGGGCAGACUAGAGUUCGGUAGGGGAGACUGGAAUUCCUGGUGUAGCGGUGAAAUGCGUAGAUAUCAGGAGGAACACCGGUGGUGUAGACGGCUUACUGGACCACGACUGACACUGAGGCACGAAAGCGUGGGUAGCAAACAGG
rnacentral:rRNA from 1 species